rnacentral:pre_miRNA from 1 species
CAUGCACCAGUGGGGUCCCUCGGCCUGGCCUGUGCCCUCUCACAAUCUGGGACCCCUCGCGGGGUGUUGGAGAGCUGGUUUCGGCCUGAUCCCGCAGGCCAGGCCGAGGGACCCCACUGGUACACA